rnacentral:lncRNA from 1 species
CAGCGGAUAGGCUUGCGUCCUGUAGUAUAACGUUGAAAUAGUUCGCACCUCUGGCUUCAAGUCAUCAUGGACCUUUCCUUGAGAAGUAUCCUGAUCUCCAGAAAUAUCCUAGUUCCUGUUUCCAGAGAAUAAUAAAACGACGGAAAACGGCUCGAAAGGAUCGCGCGUUCGAAUUACACUAACAAGGACGCGACAACUCAGGACAGAUUGACUCCGCUCAGGAUGAGGUAGCGUCGUUAGUCAUUUAAUAGAUUAUAAUGUUGUACAGAGAUAAUACAAUUCCAUUAUUGCGUAUCGUAUGAGUGCAACCUAAUAAGGAUCUGAUAACUUGAGGAGGUAAAGAAAAAAAUUUGAAAAGAGGAGGAAACAAAGGCAUCAAUUGCAGUGAAGCAACUUCGCGAUAAUUUCAAUCUGAUCUGAAGAAAGAAGAAGGAAUACGAUACAAAGAAUA